rnacentral:tRNA from 1 species
GCCCGGGUGGCGAAAUUGGUAGACGCAAGGGACUUAAAAUCCCUCGGUAGCAAUACCGUGCCGGUUCGACUCCGGCCCCGGGCACCA